rnacentral:rRNA from 1 species
UGGGGAAUUUUGGACAAUGGGCGAAAGCCUGAUCCAGCAAUGCCGCGUGUGUGAAGAAGGCCUUCGGGUUGUAAAGCACUUUUGUCCGGAAAGAAAUCCUUGGCUCUAAUACAGUCGGGGGAUGACGGUACCGGAAGAAUAAGCACCGGCUAACUACGUGCCAGCAGCCGCGGUAAUACGUAUGGUGCAAGCGUUAAUCGGAAUUACUGGGCGUAAAGCGUGCGCAGGCGGUUUGCUAAGACCGAUGUGAAAUCCCCGGGCUCAACCUGGGAACUGCAUUGGUGACUGGCAGGCUAGAGUAUGGCAGAGGGGGGUAGAAUUCCACGUGUAGCAGUGAAAUGCGUAGAGAUGUGGAGGAAUACCGAUGGCGAAGGCAGCCCCCUGGGCCAAUACUGACGCUCAUGCACGAAAGCGUGGGGAGCAAACAGGAUUAGAUACCCUGGUAGUCCACGCCCUAAACGAUGUCAACUAGUUGUUGGGGAUUCAUUUCCUUAGUAACGUAGCUAACGCGUGAAGUUGACCGCCUGGGGAGUACGGUCGCAAGAUUAAAACUCAAAGGAAUUGACGGGGUCAUAGCUGUUUCCU